rnacentral:rRNA from 1 species
AUUGAACGCUGGCGGAAUGCUUUACACAUGCAAGUCGAACGGCAGCACGGACUUCGGUCUGGUGGCGAGUGGCGAACGGGUGAGUAAUGUAUCGGAACGUGCCCAGUCGUGGGGGAUAACGUAGUGAAAAUUACGCUAAUACCGCAUACGAUCUAUGGAUGAAAGCGGGGGAUCGCAAGACCUCGCGCGAUUGGAGCGGCCGAUAUCAGAUUAGGUAGUUGGUGGGGUAAAGGCCCACCAAGCCAACGAUCUGUAGCUGGUCUGAGAGGACGACCAGCCACACUGGAACGGAGACGCGGUCCAGACUCCUACGGGAGGCAGCAGUGGGGAAUUUUGGACAAUGGGCGAAAGCCUGAUCCAGCCAUUCCGCGUGCAGGAUGAAGGCCCUCGGGUUGUAAACUGCUUUUGUACAGAACGAAAAGGUUUCUACUAAUACUAGGAGCUCAUGACGGUACUGUAAGAAUAAGCACCGGCUAACUACGUGCCAGCCGCCGCAGUAA